CAUCCCGCGCGGAGGAAAUAAAGAUCCAUUUUGCGCAGGCGCGAGUUCAUUUCUACCGCUCGAUCGUCGUGAUCCCAUGGCGGCACAUCAUACAGCAUGGAAACAUCUCAAGUAUCUGUGGACUGGGGGACAUAACUCUCCAUCAACUUGCAUGCAUAAGGUUGCAAGGCUGCAUAUAUUUGCUAUGGGAGUCAACUCAGACAGGAAUGCAGAUGUCACAUAUCUUCACUGUAAGCUCUAAUCCCAAGAAAAUCCCUUUUUGGAGAAGAGUGUUAGAGAUGCAUCUCUUCAGAUCUACAUUCCAAGAACAAUCUCAGUGUUUGCUGGUAACAAGCAGCACAGCCCACCUCUGAAACUUUUCCUGGAAGCAGAGUUCCAUGUAAGCCUGUUGGGAAUGCAUGUGACAAGAUUACAUCUGGAUGUGUUUUAAAUGACAUGGCAUUUAAAAUCUGGAGGGAGCUGAAGGUUCGAGCUUCUAACUGUCAGCCUCAAAACCUUAAUGACUUGGAGAUGUUCUGCAAAGAGGACUGGGACAAAAUCCCUCCUGAGACGUGGCCAACCACAAGAAACGUCCAAUCUCUGAUUGCCAACAAGGGUUUAGCCACGAAGUACUAAGUUAUGUUUUGCAAAGGGGUGAAAAAGUGCAAAUCAAUUUAUAACUUUUAAGUCCAUUUUUCUGGAUUUUUUUCUUGUUAUUCUGUUUCUCACUGUUAAACCUACCAUUAAAAUUACAGACUGAUCAUUUCUUUGUCGUACAAAAUCAGCAGGGGAUCAAAUACUCCCCCCCCCCGUAUGUGUCUAAAUAUAUACAUUUUCAAAGCAAAUGUUGUAUAAGCAAAUUCCAUGUUUGAUGCACAUAUCUUGCAAGAACCGUAAUUGCUUUUGUUGCAUUAUCUGUGUUUUAAAUGCCAUGGCAUUUUUUUUAUAUAAAAAGUUGUUUAUUUUUAAACAUAGACAAAAACAUAACGUAAAAAAAUCUUCAUUAUGUAC